rnacentral:rRNA from 1 species
AGCAGUAGGGAAUCUUCCGCAAUGGGCGAAAGCCUGACGGAGCAACGCCGCGUGAGUGAUGAAGGUCUUCGGAUCGUAAAACUCUGUUAUCAGGGAAGAACAAAUGUGUAAGUAACUGUGCACAUCUUGACGGUACCUGAUCAGAAAGCCACGGCUAACUACGUGCCAGCAGCCGCGGUAAUACGUAGGUGGCAAGCGUUAUCCGGAAUUAUUGGGCGUAAAGCGCGCGUAGGCGGUUUUUUAAGUCUGAUGUGAAAGCCCACGGCUCAACCGUGGAGGGUCAUUGGAAACUGGAAAACUUGAGUGCAGAAGAGGAAAGUGGAAUUCCAUGUGUAGCGGUGAAAUGCGCAGAGAUAUGGAGGAACACCAGUGGCGAAGCGACUUUCUGGUCUGUAACUGACGCUGAUG